rnacentral:ncRNA from 1 species
CAAAGAUUUGGUCAUAAACUUACUGUUACUUAACUCUUAAAUUACACAUGCAAGUAUCAGCACACCAGUGAAAAUGCCCUUAAAACAAUCACCAAAGGAGCCGGCAUCAGGCACACCAAAGUGGCCAAAGACGCCUUGCCUCGCCACACCCCCAAGGGUACACAGCAGUGAUUAAUAUUAAGCCAUAAGUGAAAACUUGACUUAGUUAUAGAGACCACGGCCGGUCAAUUUCGUGCCAGCCACCGCGGUUAAACGAAUUUUAGGCCGAAAGUAAGAGCCAAACGGCGUAAAAGUAACUAAAUCACCACCCCUUCACUAAACCCAAGAAAAAACUAAGAUGAGUUGUAAAAAACGCACACCUAUAAAAACCUCUACAUGAAGAUGUCUUGGGGCCAAGAAUAAAAUUGAACUUACUAAAAUUAAGGGACAAACUGGGAUUAGAUACCCCACUAUGCUUAAUCCUAAACAUCGACACCUAAACAUACAAGGGUGUUCGCCCGGGAACUACCAGCAAAACGCUAGAAACCCUAAAGACUUGACGGUGCCCCAAAACCCCCUAGAGGAGCCUGUUCUAUAAUUGAUGAUCCGCAAUAAACCUCACCAUUUUUCGCCCCCAGCCUAUAUACCGCCGUCGCCAGUCUACCUUGUGAAAGAACUAAGUAGGUCAAACAGCAUUACCGCUAAUACGUCAGGUCAAGGUGCAGCCAAUAAAAUGGAAAGAAAUGGGCUACAUUCCCACAAAACCGGGAAAUACUAAAAGUUAAAAUGAAAAAAUAACAAGAAGGUGGAUUUAGUAGUAAACUAGAACCAUAAUAUCAAGUUGAAAAAGGCUCUGGAGCGCGUACACACCGCCCGUCACCCUCCUAUUAAACCAAAAGGAGGCAAGUCGUAACACGGUAAGCAUACUGGAAAGUGUGCUUGGAAA